rnacentral:rRNA from 1 species
UACGGGGGGGGCAAGCGUUGUUCGGAAUUACUGGGCGUAAAGGGUUCGUAGGUGGCUUGUUAAGUCAGACGUGAAAUCCCUCAGCUUAACUGGGGAACUGCGUCUGAGACUGGUGAGCUUGAGUGCAGGAGAGGAACGCGGAAUUCCAGGUGUAGCGGUGAAAUUCGUAGAUAUUCGGCGGAACACCAGUGGCGAAGGCGACUCACUGGCCCGAUACUGACGCUGAGGCGCGAAAGCGUGGGGAGCAAACAGG